AAAACUUAAGAAAGAAUAAAAAAAUUCUAUUAAUUU
rnacentral:tRNA from 1 species